AGCAGCAUGGCAUAGUGGUUUGAGUGCUGGACUCUCACUCUGGAGACCAGGGUUCAAUUCCCAGUUCAGCCA
rnacentral:tRNA from 1 species